CAGUAGCCGCGGUAAUACGUAGGGUGCAAGCGUUAAUCGGAAUUACUGGGCGUAAAGCGUGCGCAGGCGGUUAUAUAAGUCAGAUGUGAAAUCCCCGGGCUCAACCUGGGAACUGCAUUUGAGACUGUAUGGCUAGAGUGUGUCAGAGGGGGUAGAAUUCCACGUGUAGCAGUGAAAUGCGUAGAUAUGUGGAGGAAUACCGAUGGCGAAGGCAGCCCCCUGGGAUAACACUGACGCUCAUGCACGAAAGCGUGGGGAGCAAACAGGAUUAGAUACCCCGGUAGUCCCUGUCUCUUAUACA
rnacentral:rRNA from 1 species